rnacentral:rRNA from 1 species
GACGAACGCUGGCGGCGUGCUUAACACAUGCAAGUCGAACGGUAAGGCCCUUCGGGGUACACGAGUGGCGAACGGGUGAGUAACACGUGGGUGAUCUGCCCUGCACUUCGGGAUAAGCCUGGGAAACUGGGUCUAAUACCGGAUAGGACCACUGCCUGCAUGGGUGGUGGUGGAAAGCUUUUGCGGUGUGGGAUGGGCCCGCGGCCUAUCAGCUUGUUGGUGGGGUGAUGGCCUACCAAGGCGACGACGGGUAGCCGGCCUGAGAGGGUGACCGGCCACAGUGGGACUGGGAUACGGCCCAGACUCCUACGGGAGGCAGCAGUGGGGAAUAUUGCACAAUGGGCGCAAGCCUGAUGCAGCGACGCCGCGUGAGGGAUGACGGCCUUCGGGUUGUAAACCUCUUUCAGCACCGACGAAGCGCAAGUGACGGUGGGUGCAGAAGAAGGACCGGCCAACUACGUGCCAGCCGCCGCAGUAA